rnacentral:rRNA from 1 species
UGGGGAAUCUUAGACAAUGGGGGAAACCCUGAUCUAGCCAUGCCGCGUGAUCGAUGAAGGCCUUAGGGUUGUAAAGAUCUUUCAGAUGGGAAGAUAAUGACGGUACCAUCAGAAGAAGCCCCGGCUAACUCCGUGCCAGCAGCCGCGGUAAUACGGAGGGGGCUAGCGUUAUUCGGAAUUACUGGGCGUAAAGCGCACGUAGGCGGGGCGGAAAGUCAGAGGUGAAAUCCCAGGGCUCAACCUUGGAACUGCCUUUGAAACUCCCGCUCUUGAGGUUGUGAGAGGUGAGUGGAAUUCCGAGUGUAGAGGUGAAAUUCGUAGAUAUUCGGAGGAACACCAGUGGCGAAGGCGGCUCACUGGCACGAUACUGACGCUGAGGUGCGAAAGCGUGGGGAGCAAA